rnacentral:rRNA from 1 species
AUACGGAGGGUGCAAGCGUUGUCCGGAUUUAUUAGGUUUAAAGGGUGCGUAGGCGGCCCGUUAAGUCAGUGGUGAAAGGUAUCAGCUUAACUGAUAAAGUGCCAUUGAAACUGAAGGGCUUGAGUACAGACGAGGUAGGCGGAAUUUAUGGUGUAGCGGUGAAAUGCAUAGAUACCAUAAAGAACACCGAUAGCGAAGGCAGCUUACUAGAUUGAGACUGACGCUGAGGCACGAAAGCGUGGGGAGCGAACAGGAUUAGAAACCCCAGUAGUCC